AGUCGAGCGCACUCUUCGGAGUGAGCGGCGGACGGGUUAGUAACGCGUGGGAACGUACCCAGAUCUAAGGAAUAGCCACUGGAAACGGUGAGUAAUACCUUAUACGCCCUUCGGGGGAAAGAUUUAUCGGAUUUGGAUCGGCCCGCGUUAGAUUAGGUAGUUGGUGGGGUAAUGGCCUACCAAGCCUACGAUCUAUAGCUGGUUUUAGAGGAUGAUCAGCCACACUGGAACUGAGACACGGUCCAGACUCCUACGGGAGGCAGCAAUGGGGAAUAUUGCGCAAUGGGCGGAAGCCUGACGCAGCCAUGCCGCGUGUGUGAAGAAGGCCUUAGGGUUGUAAAGCACUUUCAAUUGGGAGGAAAGGUUCAAGCUUAAUACGCUUGAGCUGUGACGUUACCUUUAGAAGAAGCACCGGCUAAAUCCGUGCCAGCAGCCGCGGUAAUACGGAUGGUGCGAGCGUUAAUCGGAAUUACUGGGCGUAAAGCGCGCGUAGGCGGCUAAGUCAGUCAGAAGUGAAAGCCCCGGGCUCAACCUGGGAAUUGCUUUUGAUACUGCUUAGCUAGAGUUUGGUAGAGGAUAGUGGAAUUCCAGGUGUAGCGGUGAAAUGCGUAGAUAUCUGGAGGAACAUCAGUGGCGAAGGCGACUGUCUGGACCAAAACUGACGCUGA
rnacentral:rRNA from 1 species